GGAGAGGUGGCCUAGCGGUUAAGAGUACUGAUUGUUCUUUCAGAGGACCUGGGUUCAAUUCCCAGCACCUACA
rnacentral:tRNA from 1 species